UGGGGAAUAUUGCACAAUGGGCGCAAGCCUGAUGCAGCGACGCCGCGUGAGGGAUGGAGGCCUUCGGGUUGUAAACCUCUUUCGCCAGUGAAGCAGGCCAUCUUCUUUGUGGGGUGGUUGACGGUAGCUGGAUAAGAAGCGCCGGCUAACUACGUGCCAGCAGCCGCGGUAAUACGUAGGGCGCGAGCGUGGUCCGGAAUUAUUGGGCGUAAAGAGCUCGUAGGCGGCUGGUCGCGUCUGUCGUGCGAUUCCCUGGCUUGACUGGGGGCUUGCUGUGGGUACGGGCCGGCUUGAGUGCGGUAGGGGAGACUGGAAUUCCUGGUGUAGCGGUGGAAUGCGCAGAUAUCAGGAGGAACACCGGUGGCGAAGGCGGGUCUCUGGGCCGUUACUGACGCUGAGGAGCGAAAGCGUGGGGAGCGAACAGG
rnacentral:rRNA from 1 species